rnacentral:rRNA from 1 species
UACAGAGGUCUCAAGCGUUGUUCGGAUUCAUUGGGCGUAAAGGGUGCGUAGGCGGCGCGGCAAGUCGGGUGUGAAAUCUUGGAGCUUAACUCCGAAACUGCAUUCGAUACUGCCGUGCUUGAGGACUGGAGAGGAGACUGGAAUUUACGGUGUAGCGGUGAAAUGCGUAGAGAUCAUGAGGAAGACCAGUGGCGAAGGCGGGUCUCUGGACAGUUCCUGACACUGAGGCACGAAGGCCAGGGGAGCAAACGGG